GGCGCAGCCUGAUGCAGCCAUGCCGCGUGUGUGAAGAAGGCCUUCGGGUUGUAAAGCACUUUCAGUCGUGAGGAAGGUGGUGUAGUUAAUAGCUGCAUUAUUUGACGUUAGCGACAGAAGAAGCACCGGCUAACUCCGUGCCAGCAGCCGCGGUAAUACGGAGGGUGCGAGCGUUAAUCGGAAUUACUGGGCGUAAAGCGCAUGCAGGUGGUUUGUUAAGUCAGAUGUGAAAGCCCGGGGCUCAACCUCGGAAUAGCAUUUGAAACUGGCAGACUAGAGUACUGUAGAGGGGGGUAGAAUUUCAGGUGUAGCGGUGAAAUGCGUAGAGAUCUGAAGGAAUACCGGUGGCGAAGGCGGCCCCCUGGACAGAUACUGACACUCAGAUGCGAAAGCGUGGGGAGCAAACAGGAUUAGAUACCCUGGUAGUCCACGCCGUAAACGAUGUCUACUUGGAGGUUGUGGCCUUGAGCCGUGGCUUUCGGAGCUAACGCGUUAAGUAGACCGCCUGGGGAGUACGGUCGCAAGAUUAAAACUCAAAUGAAUUGACGGGGGCCCGCACAAGCGGUGGAGCAUGUGGUUUAAUUCGAUGCAACGCGAAGAACCUUACCUACUCUUGACAUCCAGAGAACUUUCCAGAGAUGGAUUGGUGCCUUCGGGAACUCUGAGACAGGUGCUGCAUGGCUGUCGUCAGCUCGUGUUGUGAAAUGUUGGGUUAAGUCCCGCAACGAGCGCAACCCUUAUCCUUGUUUGCCAGCGAGUAAUGUCGGGAACUCCAGGGAGACUGCCGGUGAUAAACCGGAGGAAGGUGGGGACGACGUCAAGUCAUCAUGGCCCUUACGAGUAGGGCUACACACGUGCUACAAUGGCGCAUACAGAGGGCAGCAAGCUAGCGAUAGUGAGCGAAUCCC
rnacentral:rRNA from 1 species